GUGGGGAAUCUUAGACAAUGGGGGAAACCCUGAUCUAGCCAUGCCGCGUGAGCGAUGAAGGCCUUAGGGUUGUAAAGCUCUUUCAGAGGGGAAGAUAAUGACGGUACCCUCAGAAGAAGCCCCGGCUAACUCCGUGCCAGCAGCCGCGGUAAUACGGAGGGGGCUAGCGUUGUUCGGAAUUACUGGGCGUAAAGCGCACGUAGGCGGACCAGAAAGUCAGGGGUGAAAUCACGGGGCUCAACCCCGGAACUGCCUUUGAAACUCCUGAUCUUGAGGUCGAGAGAGGUGAGUGGAAUUCCGAGUGUAGAGGUGAAAUUCGUAGAUAUUCGGAGGAACACCAGUGGCGAAGGCGGCUCACUGGCUCGAUACUGACGCUGAGGUGCGAAAGCGUGGGGAGCAAACAGGAUUAGAUACCCCAGUAGUCC
rnacentral:rRNA from 1 species